GGGUUGAUCCUGGCUCAGAUUGAACUUUGGCGGAAUUAGCUUUACAUGUAAGUCCGACAGCAGCACGGACUUCGGUCUGGUGGCGAGUGGCGAACAGGUGAGUAAUGUAUCGGGACGUGCUGUCUUUGAGGAUAACUACGCGAAAGCGUAGCUAAUACCUGCCCUUCGAGGAAAGCGGGGACCUUCGGGCCUCGCACUAUUAGAAACAGCCGAUAUCCAGUUAGCUGGACUGAUGAGAGUAACGGCUCACCAGGCAGCGAUCGUAGCUGGUUUGAGAGGACGACCAGCCACACUGGGACUGAGACAGCCCAGACUCCUACGGGAGGCAGCAGUGGGGAAUUUUGGACAAUGGGGGAAACCUGAUCCAGCCAUCCCGCAUUGUGCGAUGAAGGCCCCUUCGGGUUGUAAAGCGCUUUUGGCAGGAAAGAAACGGCACGGGAUAAUACCCCGUGCAACUGACGGUACCGGCAGAAUAAGCACCGGCUAACUACGUGCCAGCAGCCGCGGUAAUACAUGCCGAGGUGCAAGCAUUGUCGAAUUUUGGGCGUAAAGCGUGCAGACGGUUCCGGAAAGAAAAGAUGUGAAAUCCCAAGGCUUAACUUUGGAGCACAUUUUUAACUACCGGCAAGUGUGUCGAGGGGAGGUGGAGCCGCGUCUUAACGGUGAAAUGCGUAGAUAUGCGGAGAGAUACCAUUGGCGAGCAGCCUCUGGGAUAACACUGACGCUCAUACACGAAAGCGUGGGGAGCAAACGGGAUUAGAUGCCCUGGUAGUCCACGCCCUAAACGAUGUCAACUGGCUAUUUGGGGCCUUCCGGGCCUUGGUAGCGCAACUAACGCGUGAAGUUGACCGCCUGGGGAGUACGGUCGCAAGAUUAAAACUCAAAGGAAUUGACGGGGACCGCACAAGCGGUGGAUGAUGUGGAUUAAUUCGAUGCAACGCGAAAAACCUUACCUACAGCAUGUCUGGAAUCCCGAAAGAGAUUUGCAGGAGUGCUCGCAAGAGAACCGGAACACGCAGGUGCUGCAUGGCUGUCGUCAGCUCGUGUCGUGAAUGUUGGGUUAAGUCCCGCAACGAGCGCAGCCCUUGUGUUGAUUGCUACGAAGAGCACUCUCGUGCUGAGACUGCCGGUGACAAACCGGAGGAAGGUGGGGAUGACGUCAGAUUACUCAUGGCCCAUAUGGGUAGGGCUUCACACGUCAUCACAAUGGUCGGGACAGAGGGUCGCCAACCACCCGAGGGAGCCAAUCCCAGAAACCCGAUCGUAGUCCGGAUCGCAGUCUGCAACUCGACUGCGUGAAGUCGGAAUCGCUGUCGUAAUCGCGGAUCAAGCAUGUCGCAGUGAAUACGUUCCCGGGUCUUGUACACACCGCCCGUCACACCAUGGGAAUUAGGUUUUACCAGAAGUAGUUAGCUAACCGUAAGGAGGCGAUCACACCUGGUAGGAUUCAUGACUGGGGUGAAGUCAGCAGCAGGUAG
rnacentral:rRNA from 1 species